GACGGAGGGCGCAAGCGUUGUUCGGAAUUACUGGGCGUAAAGCGCGGGCAGGCGGUCUGUUAAGUCGUUUGUGAAAAUCCGGAGCUCAACUCCGGAAAUGCGUACGAUACUGGCAGGCUGGAGAUCGGUAGAGGCUAGCGGAAUUCCUGGUGUAGCGGUGGAAUGCGUAGAUAUCAGGAAGAACACCUGUGGCGAAGGCGGCUAGCUGGGCCGAGUCUGACGCUCAUCCGCGAAAGCGUGGGGAGCAAAC
rnacentral:rRNA from 1 species